rnacentral:lncRNA from 1 species
AGGAUAUAAAAUCAUGAAUUCUAACUAUAGGAAAAUGGGCCAGAUAUAUGAUACCAUUUUUUAAACACUUGAAUGAUCUACUGGGAAUCCUUAAUGGGCUGAUGACUAAUUUCAGCCAAGCCCAAAACAAUAGAUUGCUAUACAAAGAAACCCUUUACACAAAUGGCCAUACCAAUGGUAAUGAAUCAGCAUGCCAAAAACAUAGAUACGACAGAAAGGAACUAUUAAAAGCUAACAUUUACAAUCUUUGCCUUUUUAAAACAAAAAAAAAAAAAAAAAAAAUCUUAAUAUUCAGGCUUUAUACUGUAUAUAAAAAUUACCCUCAAACAUUCAGCUAGUAACCUUUACGGGGCUGAUGGCUAACUUCAAACAAAUCCAAUACAAUAAAUGGAUUCAAGAUUCCUUAUACAAAUAAUCAGACUUAUGGUACUUAAAUAACAAAACUAAUGUACAAAAGGAAAUCGGUGACUUUCUAACGUAUAUGAAAUCAAAUGAUAGAUUAAACUUAUACAUGGUCUAAUUAAAUCUUCAGCUUUCAAAGCCUUUUCCAGCAAACUUUAAACUCUUUCCUCAGCUUUAUAGCCUACCAAUCUAUCCAAAUAUUGGUCAGAUCUGCAAACUUCAGCCAAGUGAUCAAUAGUAAAUAACUUUCCAUUCUUCAAAUUCAAAGACAAAUCUACAUGCUUCCUAUACAGCCCAUGUAUAGUAAAAAAAAAUUCUUGUUUCUACAGUUUAAAACCAAAAGAUAAUACCUACUCACAAGUAUGCACAAUAAUGUUCUUGAAAGAAAGAAAAAGAAGAAUGUGGCAUGUUUCAAUCAAACACACAAUAUCUAUAGACCAUUUCUAUUGUAUUCUUACUCCAACCAUUACACCAAUUAAAAAAAAACACAUGAACAGAAUCCCAAACUAAACAGGUUUAAAGCUUCUAACAAGGCUGGAAUUCCAAAGAACAUGGCAAGGAUAAACAAACCAGCUUCAUUUAAGCUCAAAGAUUUAAGAAAUCAACAUUUCAUUCAAGGCAACUCAAACAAGCAUAUAAGAAAGUUCAGAAAAAAUACCUAGCAAAUGGAAAAUAGCCUAAGAAACAAAGCAGCCUGCAGUUUUCUAGCUCAAACAUAGCAAACAAACAGUGAAUCAAGCCCCAAAAACGUUGUUCCAAUCUCUGAAAAACUCUCAGCAAAACCCCAAAAAAUAGAAAGAAGCUCAAAAGUUUUCUUCAGAAUCUUUUUUUUUUUGGGAAAAGAGCUGGUUUCAGCCGUUUGUGUUUUUUCACCCUUUUUUUGUGCCCUAAUGAUUGGAAAAGGAUCUUUUUAUAAAGGAUA